GGCGAACGGGUGAGUAAUAUAUCGGAACGUGCCCAGUCGUGGGGGAUAACGCAGCGAAAGCUGUGCUAAUACCGCAUACGAUCUAUGGAUGAAAGCGGGGGACUCGUAAGGGCCUCGCGCGAUUGGAGCGGCUGAUAUCAGAUUAGGUAGUUGGUGGGGUAAAGGCCUACCAAGCCUGCGAUCUGUAGCUGGUCUGAGAGGACGACCAGCCACACUGGAACUGAGACACGGUCCAGACUCC
rnacentral:rRNA from 1 species